rnacentral:pre_miRNA from 1 species
GAACUACUCCCUCCGUCCCAAAAUAAGUGUCGCUAAGUUGUACUAGAUCAGCGACACUUAUUUUGGGACGGAGGGAGUAUUUU